GUGGUAUGGGAGUCUAAAAUAAAAAUGAUAGAAUUUAUUCAUACUUUUCCAAAACGUUGUAUCUAUUGAUACAUGUUGAAAAAUAUAAUAAAAAUGAUAGGUCACCGCGCAUUUUCUCAAACUACAGGACGGGACAAAAUGACACAUUUUGUAUGGAUUAUACAGGAAAAAACACCAUUUUGUGAUUAGAAACUAAACAAAAUGAUAGAAUUG
rnacentral:lncRNA from 1 species